GUCUACGGCCAUACCACCCUGAACACACCCGAUCUCGUCUGAUCUCGGAAGCUAAGCAGGGUCGGGCCUGGUUAGUACUUGGAUGGGAGAAUCGCCCUCCCCUGGGUGGAUUCCAGAGGAACUACUUGUUCUGAGAUG
rnacentral:rRNA from 1 species